GAUGAACGCUGGCGGCGUGCUUAACACAUGCAAGUCGAACGAAGACGUCUGAGUGCUUGCACUUGGAUGGACUGAGUGGCGGACGGGUGAGUAACGCGUGGGUAACCUGCCUUAUACAGGGGGAUAACAGUUGGAAACGACUGCUAAUACCGCAUAAGCGCACAGUAUCGCAUGAUACAGUGUGAAAAACUCCGGUGGUAUAAGAUGGACCCGCGUCUGAUUAGCUAGUUGGUGAGGUAACGGCCCACCAAGGCGACGAUCAGUAGCCGGCCUGAGAGGGUGAACGGCCACAUUGGGACUGAGACACGGCCCAAACUCCUACGGGAGGCAGCAGUGGGGAAUAUUGCACAAUGGGGGAAACCCUGAUGCAGCGACGCCGCGUGAGUGAGGAAGUAUUUCGGUAUGUAAAACUCUAUCAGCAGGGAAGAUAAUGACGGUACCUGACUAAGAAGCACCGGCUAAAUACGUGCCAGCCGCCGCGGUAAAAC
rnacentral:rRNA from 1 species